CGUUUGAUUUCCAGCUUGGUCCCUGCGCCGAAAGUGUAUCGUGCACUAUAACUCUGCAGACAGUAAUAAUCAGCCACAUCAUCAGCCUGCAGGCUGCUGAUGGUGAGAGUGAAAU